CUCACCGGAAGUAGGAGAUCGGAAGUGCUGCUGCAGCUCGGCGGCAGAGCGAGGCUCGGGUUAGCUGUGGGUCUCCUCUGCAGUGUGCAGCCGCUCGCGCUGCCGCUUUGCUGGCUGGAGUUAGUAGCCACCGGCCGGUGGCUGCGGCUGAGUCGGCAACCGUGCCCGCCGCUGCUGGGCUCGGGAACAGGGGACUGACCUCAGCCGUCACCGUCGGCGUUACGCCGGUGCACACUCCCCUCCUAAUAGCCACAUGGAGCCUCCCAUACGGUUAACUCAUACAUGUCCUUUUCCUGGUAUAGGUGGUAAAGGCAGGAUGAAAGCGGGUUUUAUUGCUUGCUCUCCUUGCAAUCGUGGACAAGUUACUUCCUUUGUAAUUCCCCUUGUGGUUUCCACCCUCCAUAGAUGCCUUCGGAUUACAAGGCUAGACCUGGGAUGGGAGUCCAUGUCCCUGUUUAAAAGGCUAAAUGCUCCGUUCUCAGAGAGUUGAGCGUCUGUUCAUCUAGUAUGAAGAGGUCUUCUGAAAGCAAAAACCAUCGCAGUAUGCGGCUGUGAAAUGGGGGACGACUGCGGUAGCCUCCUUCAUACCAGACAUGGCGCCAAGAGAAGGGCUCAGCGACUGAACACAGCAUUUCCAGAUGUGAGACUGGAGCCACACCACGCGUGACACUUUCAUCUUUGGGAAACAUGACAUUCAUACCUCCAGACUUCAGUUGCCUUUUGGCUGGUGACUCUGUCAAGAGUGUGACUAAGUCAAAUGCAGAGAACCAUAAUGUUUGAAGCGAAGCAGAUCUGAGAAAUGAAGAACUCAGAAUUGCUUGAUACUGGGGUUCCCUUUGGAGGAGCUGUCCAUGAAAGACUUUUUAAAAUGUACUCGUUAGGAAGCUCAAGGACGAUGUUAUUAGUUUGAGAGAAAACACCAGGGCAGGCAAGCUGUAAACAGCAGCAGCUGCUGAGGAGAGCGAGCUGGGAAAAGGACUCCAGUCAGGCCUUGCCCUCCUCCCCCAUUUUCUGCACUUAGCUAAAAAACCAUGAAAUUACAUUCCUAAAGCUAGCGGGGGAAGGUCUAUUCCCUUAUUUGGCCACUUCCUCCUCCUGAGGCUGACCACCUAUCAAAGUAUUAAAGUUCAGCAAUCAAAAGUCCCCUUUGGCCACCCUAAUUAACAUGUCCAGCCAAAAUUGAACGCCUCAUCCUAACACAGGGUUUCUUUCCCUUUCUAAACUGCCAUUUUGUCUAUGGGCCACGUCUGCUUCCUCUUUAUCCAGAAGCAGUCCUUUGUCUCUCCAGGACAAAUAUCCCUUUCCCAUCUCCCUGGUUGCUGACAAAUGUCCCUUCCCCUUUGCCUCUGUGUCCUUUCUUAUUCCCUACUUUUUGUCUCCCUGUGGCAAAUAAAUCUCCUUUGUGCUGAGAA